rnacentral:rRNA from 1 species
GAGUUUGAUCCUGGCUCAGGACGAACGCUGGCGGCGUGCCUAAUGCAUGCAAGUCGAACGCAGCAGGCGUGCCUGGCUGCGUGGCGAACGGCUGAGGAACACGUGGGUAACCUGCCCCGGAGUGGGGGAUACCCCGUCGAAAGACGGGACAAUCCCGCAUACGCUCUUUGGAGGAAAGCCAUCCGGCGCUCUGGGAGGGGCCUGCGGCCCAUCAGGUAGUUGGUGUGGUAACGGCGCACCAAGCCAAUGACGGGUACCCGGUCUGAGAGGACGACCGGGCAGACUGGGACUGCGACACGGCCCAGACUCCUACGGGAGGCAGCAGCAAGGAAUUUUCCCCAAUGGGCGCAAGCCUGAGGGAGCAACGCCGCGUGGAGGACGACGGCCUUCGGGUUGUAAACUCCUUUCGGGUGGGACGAGCCUGACGGUACCACCAGAAGCAGCCCCGGCUAACUCUGUGCCAGCAGCCGCGGUAAGACAGAGGGGGCAAGCGUUGUCCGGAGUUACUGGGCGUAAAGGGCGCGCAGGCGGUGGGCUGCGUCGGCGCUGAAAGCGCCCCGCUUAACGGGGCGAGGUGCGCCGAUACGAGUUCACUCGAGGCAAGCAGAGGGUGGCGGAAUUCCGGGUGGAGCGGUGAAAUGCGUAGAGAUCCGGAGGAACGCCGGUGGGGAAGCCGGCCACCUGGGCUUGACCUGACGCUGCGGCGCGACAGCGUGGGGAGCAAACCGGAUUAGAUACCCGGGUAGUCCACGCCGUAAACGAUGUCGACUAGCUGUUGGGCGGAUAACCGCUUAGUAGCGAAGCUAACGCGUGAAGUCCACCGCCUGGGGAGUACGGCCGCAAGGCUGAAACUCAAAGGAAUUGACGGGGGCCCGCACAAGCAGCGGAGCAUGUGGUUUAAUUCGAUGCAAAACGAAGAACCUUACCCGGGCUUGACAUGCCGGUGGUACCGACCCGAAAGGGAAGGGACCCCGCAAGGGGAGCCGGCACAGGUGCUGCAUGGCUGUCGUCAGCUCGUGCCGUGAGGUGUCGGGUUAAAUCCCGCAACGAGCGCAACCCCUGCCCCUAGUUACACGUGUCUAGGGGGACUGCCGGCGACAAGCCGGAGGAAGGUGGGGAUGACGUCAAGUCAGCAUGGCCUUGAUGCCCGGGGCUACACACACGCUACAAUGCCCGGUACAAUGGGUUGCCAACCCGCGAGGGGGAGCCAAUCCCAUCAAAGCCGGGCUCAGUUGGGAUUGCAGGCUGCAACCCGCCUGCAUGAACGCGGAGUUGCUAGUAACCGCCGGUCAGCCAUACGGCGGUGAAUACGUUCCCGGGCCUUGCACACACCGCCCGUCACGUCAUGGGAGUCGGCAACGCCUGAAGCCGGUGGCCCAACCCUCCCCCUCCCAGGGCCUCUCUUGCGGAGAGAGGUCUUGGGAGGGGGAGGGAGGGAGCCGUCGAAGGCGGGGCCGGCGACUGGGACGAAGUCGUAACAAGGUAACC